GACGAACGCUGGCGGCGCGCCUAACACAUGCAAGUCGAACGAGCGAGAGGGAGCUUGCUUUCUCGAGCGAGUGGCGAACGGGUGAGUAACGCGUGAGGAACCUGCCUCAAAGAGGGGGACAACAGUUGGAAACGACUGCUAAUACCGCAUAAGCACACGGUGCCGCAUGGCACAGAGGGAAAAGGAGCAAUCCGCUUUGAGAUGGCCUCGCGUCCGAUUAGCUAGUUGGUGAGGUAAUGGCCCACCAAGGCGACGAUCGGUAGCCGGACUGAGAGGUUGAACGGCCGCGUUGGGGCUGAGGCACGGCCCAGACUCCUACGGAGGGCAGCAGUGGGGAAUAUUGCACAAUGGGGGAAACCCUGAUGCAGCGACGCCGGGUGGAGGAAGAAGGUCUUCGGAUUGUAAACUCCUGUUGUUGGGGAAGAUAAUGACGGUACCCAACAAGGAAGUGACGGCUAACUACGUG
rnacentral:rRNA from 1 species